GCCUUUGUAGCUCAGUUGGUUAUAGAGCGCUGCACCGGAAUCGCAGGGCCGUGGGUUCAGUUCCUACCAGAGGGC